GAUGAAGAACGCAGCAAAAUGCGAUACUUGGUGUGAAUUGCAGAAUCCCGUGAACCAUCGAGUUUUUGAACGCAAGUUGUGCCCGAAGCCUUUUGGCCGAGGGCACGUCUGCCUGGGCGUCACGCAUCGCGUCGCCCCCCACAAUUCUCCGUAAAGGGAACAUGUGUUUUGGGGGCGGAUAUUGGUCUCCCGUGCUCAUGGCGUGGUUGGCCGAAAUAGGAGUCCUUUCGAUGGACGCACGAACUAGUGGUGGUCGUAAAAACCCUCGUCUUUUGUUUCGUGCUGUUGCUCGCAAGGUAAACUCUUUAAAAACCCCAAUGUGUCGUCUCUUGACGACGCUUCGACCGCGACCCCAGGUCAGGCGGGACUACCCGCUGAGUUUAAGCAUAUCAAUAAGCGGAGGA
rnacentral:misc_RNA from 1 species